GGGGGGGGCAAGCGUUUGUUCGGAAUUACUGGGCGUAAAGGGCGCGCAGGCGGCCCGGCAAGUCCUACGUGAAAUCCCACAGCUCAACUGUGGAACUGCGUGGGAUACUGCCAGGCUUGAGUCCGGGAGAGGAGAGUGGAAUUCCCAGUGUAGCGGUGAAAUGCGUAGAUAUUGGGAGGAACACCGGUGGCGAAGGCGGCUCUCUGGACCUGUACUGACGCUGAGGCGCGAAAGCUAGGGGAGCAAACGGGGGAUUAGAUACCCCGGUAGUCCUAGCCGUAAACUUUGAGCACUUGGUGUGGCGGGUAUCGACCCCCUGCCGUGCCGAAGCUAACGCAUUAAGUGCUCCGCCUGGGGGAGUACGGUCGCAAGGCUG
rnacentral:rRNA from 1 species